UGGCCUUGUUUGUGGUCAUUUUGGCUAAAUCCCAGAAGUGGAAUCUCUGGGUCACAGGGGAGCUCUAUGUGGAGUCUUUUGAGGAACCUCCAUACUGCUUUCCAAAGUGGUUGAACAAGUUUACAC